ensembl:lncRNA
CACAAUGCUGUCCAAGAUGCAGUCAUGAGGGCCACAUUCAAGUCUUCCAUCAAAGACCAUGAGGCAGGGUCUCCCAAUUUCUAUUGACACAGGCAUGGUUCCUCCGGCCAAAAUUGCCCUUUCUUCGUUUGUGUUAUUCUGAGCACCAUUCUUCCUCUGUGUCUGCCUCCCUCUGUGUGUCUGUGGUGUAUCAGAGCCCAGGAUCUGAGCCCUCCGCUUCUCCGUCAGUCUGGGAUCUGCACGGCAGCCAGGGAAGACCAGACCACAAAGAGCUGUGUUCUCUUGGGGAAGAGACACUGCCCCUACCAGGAAGCUGGAGGCUGAGUGGCUGGAGGGGCUCUCAGAGGCCCUGUGCACCCUUGCAGCUUUUUCCGUUUGAUACUGAGAGAUAAAGGACAGUUUGUCUCUGAGGAAGGC